ensembl:rRNA 5S_rRNA 5S ribosomal RNA
GUCUACGGCCAUACUGCCCACCCAAACUCCUGUGAUCUUAGAAGCUAAGCAGGGCAGGGCCUGAUUAGUAUUUGGAUGAGAGAAACAGCUCCUGACUUGUUGUUAAAAUCUGGAUACAGACU